UACGAAGGUGGCAAGCGUUGUUCGGAUUUACUGGGCGUAAAGGGCGCGUAGGUGGUUAGGUAAGCCCUCCGGGAAAUCUUCAGGCUUAACCUGAAAAGGUCGGGGGGGACUGCCUAGCUAGAGGGCGGGAGAGGAGCGCGGAAUUCCCGGUGUAGCGGUGAAAUGCGUAGAGAUCGGGAGGAAGGCCGGUGGCGAAGGCGGCGCUCUGGAACGUUUCUGACACUGAUGCGCGACAGCGUGGGGAGCAAACAGG
rnacentral:rRNA from 1 species